rnacentral:rRNA from 1 species
GAUGAACGCUGGCGGCGUGCUUAACACAUGCAAGUCGAACGGAAAGGCCCAAGCUUGCUUGGGUGCUCGAGUGGCGAACGGGUGAGUAACACGUGGGUGAUCUGCCCUGCACUUUUGGAUAAGCCUGGGAAACUGGGUCUAAUACCGGAUAGGACCAUCGUUUAGUGUCGGUGGUGGAAAGUUUUUCGGUGUGGGAUGAGCUCGCGGCCUAUCAGCUUGUUGGUGGGGUAAUGGCCUACCAAGGCGUCGACGGGUAGCCGGCCUGAGAGGGUGUACGGCCACAUUGGGACUGAGAUACGGCCCAGACUCCUACGGGAGGCAGCAGUGGGGAAUAUUGCACAAUGGGCGCAAGCCUGAUGCAGCGACGCCGCGUGGGGGAUGACGGCCUUCGGGUUGUAAACUCCUUUCGCCAAGGACGAAGCGUUUUGUGACGGUACUUGGAGAAGAAGCACCGGCUAACUACGUG